AGUGAACGCUGGCGGUAUGCCUAACACAUGCAAGUCGAACGGCAGCACAGUAAGCGCUUGCUCUUACGGGUGGCGAGUGGCGGACGGGUGAGGAAUACAUCGGAAUCUACUUUUUCGUGGGUGAUAACGUAGGGCAACUUACGCUAAUACCGCAUACGACCUACGGGUGAAAGCAGGGGAUCUUCGGACCUUUCGCGAUUGAAUGAGCCGAUGUCGGAUUAGCUAGUUGGCGGGGUAAAGGCCCACCAAGGCGACGAUCCGUAGCUGAUCUGAGAGGAUGAUCAGCCACACUGGAACUGAGACACGGUCCAGACUCCUACGGGAGGCAGCAGUGGGGAAUAUUGGACAAUGGGCGAAAGCCUGACCCAGCCAUGCCGCGUGGGUGAAGAAGGCCUUCGGGUUGUAAAGCCCUGUUGUUGGGAAAGAAAAGCAGCAGGUUAAUACCCGGCUGUCCUGACGGUACCCAAAGAAUAAGCACCGGCUAACUUCGUG
rnacentral:rRNA from 1 species